UUACAUUCUCAGUUAGCUUCAGGCCUCACUGAGGCGAAGUAUUGAGGUAGAAAGCUGGUGAAGCCAUUUCCUGCUGUCAUUAUAUUCUGUUUGCACAGAUAAUAAACCUGGUUGACAAGAAGGACGUCGUUUUCAUUCGACACAACGCAGAGAUACAUGUGGCGUCAAUCCAGACCGGUUACACAAAGAAUGAUAAAUAGAGAAAACAGAUAUAAUUUGCUUAUUAUCUGAUUACCAGCUCUGCACAGCGGACUUGUAACACUAGCAGCAGUGGAGAUGGAGCAUCAGAACCUGGAGGCUUCUACUCUCCUGAAGAAGAAGAAUACAGCAACAAGGAUCCAUUUGAAGAUAGGUAAAUAUUUCACAGCUGCCUGGGCCUAGCAGCAAGAACCUCCAUCUGUCCCUGCCCCCACGUCAAGAUCUACCGUGGCUCAAGGGCCUUCACCGCAAAGGACCAGAGGACCAUCAUCACUACAGUGGCCUCCAUCUCCAUCUGCCACAAGAUUAAGAUACACCUCGGGACAAAGGCCUCCACCACAGCCAUCACGAUCAACCCAGCCAGCAAAGAAGUCUCGCCUAGCACUGCCUCGGUGAGACUCCAGAAAGCAUGGAGCAAGAGACAAUUUCCCUUUUGGCUGAACAACAGAAAAGAAACAACCGGCAAUCAAUAAAAAAAAAGAUGGCGAAGGCGUUUGGAUACCGAAGACAAGAAAUAGUGCAUCGGAGGCCAAGCAUUGAAGGCCUCUUGGAGCGGUGGCCUGCACUUUUUCACAUGGAAGAGGUAAAUGCUGAGUUAAUGCGCAUAACAACAAUUCCAUUGGAGACAAAGUUCUUGGCGCAGUUGGACAAACACUCAGGUCAUCAGGAGCAGGGGAGGAGUUGUGAAACAGAAGACCACCGGGAUCUUGCAGGUUUUGGAUGAGACUGUGGACAUCGCCAUCAGAAGAGAAUGCAUCCUCAAAUCUCUAAUGAUCUACCUGGGUGAACCUGUUGACCAUCUCAUCAAAGAAUUCCAGGACGCUGAGGCUGGAGAACUGGAGCAGGCAACAAUGGAAGCCUUUGACACUGGGAAAGAGGAUCAGCUUCAUCGACCCAAAGACGUCAAGGUUCUCAUCGAAGGAACAGAGGUCCUCAGCGGCUUGCCCUCGGUUGCGACAGCUUUUGCCAUGCUCUUCGGGCUCAUAUACGCACUGAAAUGGGGCGACGCCUGCGAGCUAGUUCAGGCAGUCAACUCGAGCACUUAUGCUGCAUUCAUACAUAACGCCCCCUUGCCACUCUACAACCAACCAAACAGAGUCUCCUUAAUGUGCCGCUCUAUUGAACCUGCCAGAUCUCUCUCCAUGCAUUGCUUGCUGCUGCUAUUGCUGCAGCUACCUCUACGUCGCUGCUGCUCGCUGCCCCACCACCACCCCAGCUUCCACCUGUAGGCUCGGGGGUUAGUUAUUUGAUCAUCACUCAUCGUGCUAUGUAUAUCUAUGGAGUGAUGAUGCCCGAGCCUAGUCGCCAAACUCAACUAUAUGCUGCUUCUAAUAAACAUGUUAAAGGAACACGUGAGUUGUCUGACUGAACUUAAGAUAUCAGAAAUAACUGCAAUCCACUUUUGAAGUUGUGCAAAAAGUCCUGAUGGAGGGGAAAAAGAUGAGCCCAAAAGUGAAUAGACUGAGAACCCAGCUGGUAGACACUUUGUUGCACUCACUCACAGUUACCAUUGUUACAUGGUAAGGUUUCUAAAACCAAGGUUUUAUAAUAAUUAUGCAUUGUAAAACAUUUGCGAAAAAGUGUUGUGUUCAGAAGUUGCACUUACAGUAUGACCGAUUUUCACUGUAGAAGUUAUGCAUGUCUAAUCAUUUUCAGAGAUUACAUGUCUCACAGGCGCACGUUGUCAGUGUUGCUUUAAAAAAGUGUGCAGUGGAUAAUAAGGACAAGUCUUUUUUCUAAGAGUUUGAUGUUUGGAAGCGGCCCACAUAUUACUGCAUUUUAACUGUGGUACUUAUUAACAUGUCUAAGAUCAGGUAAUGGCUGCCUCAGAGGCCAAAGCUGGUUGUGUGAACAACUUGUUUUUCAUUCAAAUAAAUGUGCUCUGGUGUUAAAAUAUACAGAUUGAUCUGAAGAAAUUGAGUCAAUGUAAAAUAUUUCGUGUGAUUGAUUACUCUAAUAUUUUUUUGUUGGUACAACGUUUUACUUUUAUUAGUGUACCUUUCAGUUGCAUUGCACUCCUUAAACGUGUUUGAGACACUUUAGAUAACAAUGUGGCUGUCAUUUGAUUAACUCUGAAAAUACAGAGGUUUUUAUUGAAUAAAUCACCCAAAAAUCACAUGAAUUGA